CCGACGCUAACACAACAGGAACUUGCUCUGGGUACCCCAGGCAAGUGGCCCUAGAUCCUUUGCUUUAGCGGUUUGGAGGAGCAACUGUUAGAGGAGUUUAAAUUAACUAGAGGCGAGACUUCCUAGCUUUAUGCUGAGUGGGAGAGCUCCCCCUUUAGCUGUUUUUUAGAAAUAGCAGAAGUCUCUGUCAUAAUCCUUACAGGAGGUGUUUGUUGAAUCCUGCCUGAAUGAAAAGAAGGGGGUGGAGGGAGGGAGUGGAGGUGGGUUUUCUUCCAGAAGGUCGAUGAAAAGAAAAAGAUCUGGAAACACAGCAGGGAAGGGUGGAGAUUAGACAGCAGAAGGAACUUCCUAAUAAGGCAGUGAGAUGCUGGCUUGGGAGAAGAGGUGUUUUUUUGAACCCUGGGUUAACCUAACCAAGAAAGAGGUAUCAGGGUUUGGAACCCAGAGUAUAGGAGUUUCAGAGUGUCUCCUAUUUGGGUCUCAUAAGUAUUUGUUUUGUUGACCCAAAUACCUUUGCUGGUUUCCAUGGAGACAGUGGGUCUGACAUCACUGUGGUUGCCAUGGUGCCUGGUUCUAGAGGACCUGAGCAGGCUGCACACACAGCUAGGGAUAAACAGGGACUUCAGCCCAAGCUGCUGCCACUUCCUUCCUGCCACCACCUGUUAACAGUCAGCAACUGGGGAUGGGGAGAUGAUAACAAGGGCGGGGGUGGAGCCACAAGCGGAAGGCUGAACAGCCAUGGCUCUAUGGAUACUUACAGAUGCAUGCCAGGGUGUCCUGUUGGAUUUGGUACAGGGAGGUCAUUGCAGCCAUUCUCCUGUCUCCGUGUGGAAUGGGUGCAUGUGUCUGGGAGGAUGGGCAUUGGGAAAGACCUAUCCAGGACUUGGAUCUUGACUGGCAGGAGCCACAGGAGGUUACUUAGGGCACCACGCAGGUCCACCUUUAUGCCUGGUCCCAACAGGAGCUGCCUGAGGGAACUGUUUUAGCCUUGGAUGAAGGGGCGGAUCCCUCUCUUCUUACCCUGCUUUGUGUCAGUCAGGCUUUGGAAACUGGAGUGAUUCCCUCCCCUAUCCCUGUCAAGUCAGAGCAGAUUAACCGGGUGCAGGACCAUAGCCCUGAUUUUUGUCUAUUUUUUGCAAGCUAUAAAGUGAUGUAUAUAUACAUGAUAGUUGCCAUAAAUCCAUUUUCCCAGUCACCUUCAAGUUCCCUAAGACCAAACUCUGGCGAUUACUAAGAAGGUAAACAGAAUUUAGGAUGAAGACUGAGAGUGAUGAGGAGACUUAUAAAAGGUGCAUCCAGGUGGAUCUAAGCUAUGCCAGUGGCUCUUAACCCUGGCUGCGCAUGAGAAUCAUUUGAGUGGUUUUUUAAAAGACCCACAGCCGGGCCUACCCCCCAACUCAAUUGAAUCAAAAUCUUAGGUGAUUCCAAUGUGCAGCCAAGAUUGAGAACCACUGAACUAGACCAUACCAAGGACUUAUGCUGGGCAAGUGGUGGGACACUUAGGGCUGAAGGAGGCCAUUGAGUCUUCCCUUCCAGGUCCUGGGGGAGAAGGUAGUGAUUGUGUAGGUACCUGGUGUUGUGAAGGGAGGGCUGUGUUGUUUCCCUGCUCUUCUUAUUAACAAGUCUUCUUAUUGGCAAGUUGAGUCUGUCAACCUUGCUGGGCUUCAUCUUCCCUGACUCAAAUGUCAGGGGGCUGGACUGGAAUUCCCCAGAGCCUUUCCAGCCUAUGCUACUUUGACCUUUCAAGGUCAGUUCAGUUUUCCAAGGCCCUGUUGGUCCCUGGAAGAGGCUGGCUUCUCUGUGGGUGUUGGCAGAUUCUGAUUUGCAAGGCAAAUACUGCUUAGAAGAGCUGGGGUGUCAGGGAGAGAAGGACUGGAACCAGGCUUGGUUCUGGAGGCUGCUGCCCAGCACUUGAACCUUGGAACCCAGCCAAGGCUGCUUUCUGCAUUCUGCCCCUCCUGAAGGGAGCUCCCAUCCUUAAGAGAGCUUUCUUCUGCAGGUGGCAGCCACAGCAGCCUCAGGGACCUCAGCAACUAUGGCCUCCUGCCCAGACUCUGAUAAUAGCUGGGUGCUUGCUGGCUCCGAGGUAGGAAGAGCGGGCCUGGGAACCAUGGGGGUGGGGUUGGGGGGUGUUUCUGCAGUGCUGGGCUUCUUUCUUGGUGGGUCCUUUUCCUUAGUCCUGAUGGUCACCUACAUCACUUCCUGCUGGCUGUUAGAGGAAUUCCAGUAGCAGGAAGAAGUAGAUCAGGCCCCAGGGGUCAGGUGUUGGCACUUGGACCAUGCCAUGAAGGAAGGGACCAGUUGGGUAAGCUGAGACAAGUAGGGAUGGAUUUCGAAUGGAGAGACCAAUGUGAACAAAGGUCCUGAGGCGAUAGUGGGGAACGCCAUGCUGGGGGAGACUGUGGGACACCCAUGGGUGAUGUGGAGACGUGGGUUGGAGCCAGUGUUGGAGUGAGGUUGGGGACAGAGCCUGGGAACCCCUGGAAGAGACCGGAAGAGCCUGGCUGAGGCCUUCAGGCCUCAUCCUGAUGGGAAAUCAGUGUGGGGCUUUGGGUUAGAGGGAUCAGGACAAUCAUUGUCUCAGGCAGAGGGUGAAGCCACUGUGCAUGCUGGGUGGGAACAGGGAGAGAGUGUUUCAAAGACCCCCUGCAGCAGUCCAGGUAGCAGCUGGUGGGGCAGAAGCCCACUGAGGAGGGAGAAGGGGGUUGGCAGGAUGGGGAACUGAGUGGCUAGAGAAGGGAUGGCAAAAAUUUGUCAAAGGCAUCUCUGAGAGUUCCAAGACGUAGCGACUUUGUAUAUUAGAGCCACCAGGAGGGGAGGAGGAGAGAAGCUCAGUUUCAACAUGUUGAGUUUGAGGUGCCCUUGAGGAACCCAGCUGGGAGUAAGGAGUUGACCUUGGGGAUGACGCUGGAGCAAGAUAAUGGACUGGGGCUCACUGGCAGAGGGAAGGCAGGUAUGAGCAGACGGGCACCAGGCUCUCAGAGCCCUGGCCUCCUGUUGAGGUGUCUUUGUUGACAGCUGGGGGACCUUGGGCAUGCCAUUUCACCUCUCUGUCCUCUCCUGUAAAACGGGCGUCAUGAUUUUUGCCUUGUAGGGGGGACCAUGAGAAUAAAAAUGUUUUGAAAAUAGCAAAGACAUAACUAAGGUGAAGCAUUACUCUCAGAGGGAUAGUUGGAGCCACGGGGCGGGUGGCAGGCCAGGGCCCUAUGGAAGGGGAGUAGGCAGAGGGAGGAGGCCGAGGCUGUGUGGCCAGGGCUGGAUGUCCAGGCUGAGAGUGCCCUGGAGACAGGCUGUCUGUGGUUGGGGUGGGUUGGGCUUCUGUGAGCAGCUGCUGGGAGACGGGUGUCGGGGGAGUGUCAGGGGCCAGCGGGAAAGGCCAGAAAGGCUUGAGAGAUGUAAGUAGUUGUCCAGUUGAGAGGGCAGCUGCAGGGACACCCUGGGAGGCAUAACUGUGACCCGUGGGCACCCAGGGGACUUUGUUCUCUUGCCUUCUUCCCACCCUUAAUAUUAUAAUAUCUGGGUUGUUCAUCUGUGGGGAAGGAAGUGCUGCUGAUCUUGAUGGGAGGGAAACGUAGGCUCUAGCUCACCUUCUGGAGGCGGGGCACCAGGUUUGUACUGCAACCAGUGCCUUGGUCUGGUGGUGCGGCGCUGUGUAGCGGAAACCUGGCCCCUGAAAGUUCCUCCUCGCAGUGAGUGAGGCUGGGGAAUGCCGAGCACUUGGUGCUGCCCCGAGCCCCUUUUUGGGCCAGCUCAUGACUGAAUGUGUGUGUUUCUGGGAUGUGGGCUGGGGCCCCAUUCUUGGGUGCAGCCCUUCUCCUUGCACUUCUCCUCCCAGAGCCUGCCAGUGGAGACACUGGGCCCGGCAUCCAGGAUGGACCCAGAAUCUGAGAGAGCCCUGCAGGCCCCUCACAGCCCCUCCAAGACAGAUGGGAAAGAAUUAGCUGGGACCAUGGAUGGAGAAGGUACUGGGCCCUGCUUAGGACAUAGCUUACCGGACAAAGCUAUUCUCCAUAUUUUGGGGUUUCUCAGUUUCCUCAGAGAAAGGGAGGCUGGUUCGUUUUAGUUCCUCCAUUAAUCUCAGUUGACAAACUCCUUUUCUCAUUCCAUCCUGGCUUUUUCC
rnacentral:lncRNA from 1 species